rnacentral:lncRNA from 1 species
GCACCGACGGAGGCACAGGAUCGCGGCAAGGGGAUCGCUUAGCUAGCUAGCGAGGAGCGGUACUUUGCCUAGGUGGUUUACUCCUUCUUUUGUAGUUGAGAGAGUGAGAGGUUUUUGUAUCCAUGUAUAGAGACCACCUAUGUAUCUAUCUAUAGCACUUGUAUCUGGGAUUUUCUUGUAUCACUUUAUGUCUUAUUUAGUGGAUUUACAGUUUCAUCCUUAUCCUUUGUUGUAGCAUUUAGACAUUUACUAUGCUCUGAUACUCCUAGAUGUCUUUUACUAUUGCUUUUAUUAUUAUUGUUUUUAAACGCCUUAUAUGUUUUAGACGUAUGGCGGGUCUGGGCACGUGCCGGGCGGGCUUCCGCUGGGUCCCGGGGCGUGACAUUAUUAGUUAUGGGUUAGGUACUAACCCGGUGGACCUUCCUUAGGUCCAGUUGACGUUCUUUUGCAGUCAGGAGACAUGCGCGACAUCCUUAUAGGUGGGUACAUCAAUCCGAAGUCGGUAUAGUGUUGCACGCUCGGUGAUGGUUUCUUACCCUUACUCUCAUUGUUAUUUGGCAUAUAUAUAUCUUCAUAUAUAGUGUUGAGCCUAGCACCCAUGUUGUUUUGGUUAUACUCUACUCAGAUGUUUCCAUACUUAGUACCAUGUGUAGGAGUAGAGUAGUUACUUGUAUGUGAUAUCAGUGAUCUGGUUGGUCGGUUCUCGUACUUCGUAUCAGUGACCUGGUUGGUCGGUUCUCGUACUUCAUAUCAGUGAUCUGGUUGGUCAGUUUUGUAUCUUGUAUCUGUGACCUAUUCAGUCGGUUCCUUGACUUCUGUCGUUCAAUGACCAUUGAGGUCGGUAUACCCUGAGGGGUUGUAUUGUCGGCUAGUGGCUGACGGUAGUUCUGGAUUUCAGUGAUACAUGAUGUGACAUUCGUGUGACCUAUUGGUCGGUUCUUGAGUAUACAGUUAGUUGACAUUGAGCAGUACUUGCAUAUAUUUGAGAAGAUGUUGAGUUGUUCCAUCCUAGUUGACCUGAGUGGUCGGUUCUAGUGCUUCCUUACAGUUUGAUGACCUAUUGGUCGGUUUGCCCCAAGGGGCAGUGAUUGUCGGCUGGUUGCCGAUGGUUGGCUUUUGAGCAUAUCAGCAUUGAUCGCCCGAGACUCGUACGCAUUUCACGAACACCAGCGGUCUAAUCCACGCAAGAGGGUGUUCUUUUCCGGAAAAGUGGUUGUGUGUGCCAACCCGUGAGCCCAUAGUCUACCUCGGGUUAUAUGCAGCCUGUGAGCCCAUAGGCUACCUUGGGUUAUACACAGGUGGAGUGGCAGUGGCAUAGGCUUGAGGUCUGCCGUGCAGACCAACAGGGCCAAGUUUUCAGAUUGGGUAUAUUCGGACUUCUCGUCCGGUUGACGGAUAUAGCUAUAGUAGCAGUUGUCGCAUGUAUACUUACAGUUUUUCUUUACAGUUGUCUUGCUACUAUAGUUUUGAUAUCCUGGUAUGCUUUCAGUUCUUCAUUACAGUUGCGGUAGUUGUUCUUUCAUAUAUAUAUCUCAUUCGUUCAUUAUCGUUGCUACUGUAUUUCACUUACCCAUAUUAUUUAUCUCUUUCUGAUCUGGUGAGUACUCCUCGCCUUCUUCGGCUUGCCGUACCCACUGGGAAGGGAGAUAUAUUUAUAUGUUCUCACCUCCCCCAUCCUAGUUCUCCCCAUUGGGAGAGGAGACAUGUUGUUCCAUCCUAGUUGACCUAAGUGGUCGGUUCUAGUGCUUUCUUACAGUUUGAUGACCUAUUGGUUGGUUUGCCCCAAGGGGCAGUGAUUGUGGGCUGGUUGCUGACGGUUGGCUUUUGAGCAUAUUAGCAUUGAUCACCCGAGACUCGUACGCAUUUCACGAACACCAGCGGUCUGAUCCACCGCAAGAGGGUGUUCUUUUCCGGAAACGUGGUUGGGUAUGCCAACCCGUGAGCCCAUAGGCUACCUUGGGUUAUAUGCAGCCUGUGAGCCCAUAGGCUACCUUGGGUUAUACGCAGGUAGAGUGGCAGUGGCAUAGGCUUGAGGUCUGCCGUGCAGACCAACAAAGCCAAGUUUUCAGAUUGGGUAUAUUCGUACUUCUCGUCCGAUUGACGCAUAUAGCUAUAGUAGCGGUUGUUGCAUAUAUACUUACAAUUUUUCUUUACAGUUGUCUUGCUACUAUAGUUUUGAUAUCCUGGUAUGCUUUCAGUUCUUCGUCACAAUUGCGGCAGUUGUUCUUUCAUAUAUAUAUCUCAUUCGUUCAUUAUCGUUGCUACUGUAUUUCACUUAUCCAUGUUAUUUAUCUCUUCCUGAUCCGGUGAGUACUUGUCAUGUCCGGGUACCAGCGGAAGCAUAUGCGGCACGUGCACAGACCCGCCAUACACCUGCAGUAUAUAAGGCGUCUACAAAGAAAACAUGUCGAUAGGAGGGAAACAUAGAAGAAUCCUAUCCCGAUAUCAGAGCAAAGUGUAAAUCACUAAUACUAUCAACAGAAAAAAUAAGCAAAGAGUAUACAACCCAAAAUCUCAACAUCACAGGGCUACUCAAAAUACAUGUACAAUGGUAGUCUCUCUAUACACGGGUACAUCACCCUCGGCCAUGGCACGAGUAGUAAGGUGAUCACCUAGUAAAACAGCAAGCUAGGUCUAGCUAGACGCGACUCCCUUGCCGCGAUCCCUAGCCUCUCCUGUAGGUAGCUCUGUAAAAACAACAAUAAAAAGGGCGCGAGAACUAUUAAACAAUAGUUCCCAGUGGGUAAGCCGCCAGCCUCGGCGAAUUACACCACUAGGCUCAUGAUGUACUAGAUGAAAGUAAAAGCAGUAAUUGCAUGAUAUAUCUACAAUACUAUCAGGUAAUGAACAUGUAAUUAACAUAUAAUCAUACUUUCUACAGUAAUGAAUUAACUGAAUAAUAAAAGCAUAGCAAUUACUGUAAGCAUGAACGUGUAAGUAAAUAAUGUACACUAUAACUGGUAAUCAAUCAUUACUAUCAUCUGUUAUGUAGAACUUUAAUUUCAUUCAUAAGGACCUACACAGGGUAGUCCCGCUUGCGCCGCGCCUAAUGGUCCCGUGGUAGUAUGCACUCCCUACGACAAUCCACUUCGGCACCCAAUCCCACACGGGCGAGCAUCUGUCGCGUAGGCCAACUUCGGAGUGCCGGCUUUUAGGGAGCUACCCUCACAAACGUGUGCGAAUGAGCACAAUGGCAAGCAAGCAAAGUCCAUAGUUCAAUAUGCCUCGAACAUCGUGUCAUAGUAUGCUAUGUCAUAAUAUGUCGUAGGGUAGUUCCACAUAUCAUUCUACACACUUGAACUUUGCAAUUUGCUAAAGUUCAGUGUAUUACAGUACUCCUCGCCUUCUUCGGCUUGCAGUACCCACUGGGAGGGGAGACAUGUUUACAUGUUCUCACCUCCCCCAUCCUAGUUAUCCCCAUUGGGAGGGGAGACAUGUUGUUUCAUCCUAGUUGACAUGAGUGGUCGGUUCUAGUGCUUCCUUACAGUUUGAUGACCUAUUGGUCGGUUUGCCCCAAGGGGCAGUGAUUGUCGGCUGGUUGGCGACGGUUCGCUUUUAAGCAUAUCAGCAUUGAUCGUCUGAGACUCGUACGUAUUUCACGAACACCAGCAGUGUGAUCCACCGCAAGAGGGUGUUCUUUUCCUAAAAAGUGGUUGGGUAUGCCAACCCGUGAGCCCAUAGGCUACCUUGGGUUAUAUGCAGCCUGUGAGCCCAUAGGCUACCUUGGGUUAUACACAGGUAGAGUGGCAGUGGCAUAGGCUUGAAGUCUGCCGUGCAGACCAACAGGGCCAAGUUUUCAGAUUGGGUAUAUUCGGACUUCUCGUCCGGUUGACGCAUAUAGCUAUAGUAGCGGUUGUUGCAUAUAUAUUUACAGUUUUUCUUUACAGUUGUCUUACUACUAUAGUUUUGAUAUCCUGGUAUGCUUUCAGUUCUUCAUUACUGUGAUGCACUGGACCUCGCAAAUUGUGGGGUUCGAGUGAUUAAUUGUGUUCCGAGCUUUUCCAGACUUUCUGGUGGGUCGUUGACAGUGUUCCGACCUAUGGUUCGAGUCCCGAGAAUUGUGGUUUAAAGCGGUGUACCAAAAUCCAAAAAGUUGAAUUUUUCGUCAGCUCUCGGGUAGCCUUCAGCAGGCUGUGUACCGGUACGGGCUUGGUGUCUAUACCGGUACGGGGUUGAUGGCUGUACCGGUACGGGACCGCGUACCAGUACACAGACGAUUUUGAGGCAAACCCGAGGCUCGGAUUUGGCCAUUUCGUGGGUUGUGUACCGGUACACAAACCCGUGUACCGGUACACAGUACAGAUUUUGGCUGUUUUGUUGGGGGGUGUUUUUGCAAUUGUUGCAACGCCUAUAAAAGUCACCCCAGCCCUCAUGGCUGCUCUUUUGAGCCCUAGACCAGUGGAGAACAGGUGAGAACUCCUCCCCUAUGGUUUCUUCUCCAUUUUUGUUGGAUUUUUGCUAGUUUUGAUCUCUUUUCUCUUCUCCUUCUUGCUUUUUGUGGGUUUUCCACCAUUGGAGAAGUGUGAGAUCUUGGUUGGAGCUUGUUUGAGGAUCAACCUUCAACCCUAAAGGACUUUGGAGCUUGGUUUGGAGCUUCUAAGAGGUUAGUAACUAUUUCUCUCCUCUAGAUUCGGAUUUUGUUGGAUUUUACUAGAUCAAACCCUAAAUUUUGGAUUUUAGGGUUAGAUUUGGGGAUUUUCGAUUUGAGGGCUUUGGAACCAAAUUGAUGGGUUUAGAACCUUUGUUUAGGUUUGAUUGGAAGGACUCUAGCUCCCAUUUGGAGUUUGAGAGGCUCUCGCAAUCGGUGGUUUUCUUCACUAGCCCGAAAUGGUUAAUUAAUUGAGAAUCCGUUACUCGUUUUGUUUGGGUAACACAUUGUUCCUACAUCCUUAGGAGUACUAGAGGCUGUGACACUUUCGUUCGUGAAAGGAAGAGUUCGAAAAAUUGGUGGGUUUGGCUUGUGGAAUGGGGCGAAAUGCCCUAUGCUCUUUCUACUUGUUGUAAAAUAUUUUUAAAUUUAUUUCUAUGCUAAGCGAAUUUAAUGAAUUUAGAGCACUUAAAUUGUAUGCCUUGUGAUUUUGAGAAUUUCACUAUAUAGUAGAGCUAUAUGAGUAGAUGCAUGCAUAGGGAAAGUGUUUAUUUGCAAGUGGCAAAUACAUCACUUAUGAGAUUAUGAUUUGAAAUAUUUACUUUGGAACAUAGUUGUCAUGCUCUGACAUAGAGACAAGAGUGUCAUCAGGGGCUUGAAACCAGUAAACUAUGAACUGCAACAUAGCAGACAUAUUGAUAGCACUACUUAUCGCUACAUUUCCAUGUUAGAGACAUGAUGCUAGGGAGGCCGUUGAGAUACUUGACACAUUCCAUGUUAUUAGCAUGAGGAUUGGUAACUUGCGACAGAUCGUUUUGUCUACUUGCCAUUGUGCUCAUUCGCACAUGCUUGUGAGGGUCGCUCCUACAGCCGGCACUCCGGAGAUACCAUCGCGAUUCAUAUUCGCUGUGCGGGAUUGGGCCGCCGAAGUGGAUAAAUGCCGGUGGACAGGCUCAUUCCUAGGGUGGGGAUGAUGACUACGCGGGGCCAUUGGCUCGGCCGGCCAUAGAAGCCUUACGGGUGGGUCUCAGGGGCAUAGCAGCCUUAACGGUGGGCUCUGUUAGAGUUGACUUUGGUAUUCAUAUGGCAUGUGGACAGAUGAUGGUAUUAGUGUACUCUUUGGACUUUGACUAGAAUAGUAAACGAGAGGAACUUUUUAUAUUUCACAUUGUGAAUUAUGAUAGUUGAGACUUUAUACUUCAUGCAUAGUGUGCUCAUAUUACGCUAUUUAUGCUGAGUAGAGAUUUUCAUGUUGUAGUAAGUUCAUAUUUUACUUACCUUUCGUCUUUUCUACAUUUUAUAGUACUGACAUUUUGGUAGCUUUGGCCUUGUGGUAGCGAUUCAGCCUGAAGUCAGUAAUUGGCCCUGGGAACUAUUUAUUAUAGUAUUGCUCCCAUUUUAUGGUUUACUUUUCAGAGUCCUUCGGCCACGGGGAGGACGUGAUCGCGGCAAGGGGAUCGCUUAGCUAGCUAGCGAGGAGCGGUACUUUGCCUAGGUGGUUUACUCUUUCUUUUGUAGUUGAGAGAGUGAGAGGUUUUUGUAUCCAUGUAUAGAGACCACCUAUGUAUCUACCUAUAGCACUUGUAUCUGGGAUUUCCUUGUAUCACUUUAUGUUUUAUUUAGUGGAUUUACAGUUUUAUCCUUAUCCCUUGUUGUAGCAUUUAGACAUUUAUUAUGCUCUGAUACUCCUAGAUGUCUUUUAUUAUUGCUU